GUGGUAAUGCCGGAUGCUCCAGUUGAUCGCAUGGUCUUCUGGGAAAGCUUUCGCGGUAUGGGAUGGGGUCGCGUCCUAUCAGCUUGACGGCGGGGUAACGGCCCACCGUGGCUUCGACGGGUAGCCGGCCUGAGAGGGCGACCGGCCACAUUGGGACUGAGAUACGGCCCAGACUCCUACGGGAGGCAGCAGUGGGGAAUAUUGCACAAUGGGCGCAAGCCUGAUGCAGCGACGCCGCGUGAGGGAUGGAGGCCUUCGGGUUGUAAACCUCUUUUAUCGGGGAGCAAGCGAGAGUGAGUUUACCCGUUGAAUAAGCACCGGCUAACUACGUGCCAGCAGCCGCGGUAAUACGUAGGGUGCAAGCGUUAUCCGGAAUUAUUGGGCGUAAAGGGCUCGUAGGCGGUUCGUCGCGUCCGGUGUGAAAGUCCAUCGCUUAACGGUGGAUCCGCGCCGGGUACGGGCGGGCUUGAGUGCGGUAGGGGAGACUGGAAUUCCCGGUGUAACGGUGGAAUGUGUAGAUAUCGGAAAAGAAACACCA
rnacentral:rRNA from 1 species